rnacentral:rRNA from 1 species
AGUGAACGCUGGCGGUAGGCCUAACACAUGCAAGUCGAACGGCAGCACAGUAAGAGCUUGCUCUUACGGGUGGCGAGUGGCGGACGGGUGAGGAAUACAUCGGAAUCUACUUUUUCGUGGGGGAUAACGUAGGGAAACUUACGCUAAUACCGCAUACGACCUACGGGUGAAAGCAGGGGAUCUUCGGACCUUGCGCGAUUGAAUGAGCCGAUGUUGGAUUAGCUAGUUGGCGGGGUAAAGGCCCACCAAGGCGACGAUCCGUAGCUGGUCUGAGGGGAUGAUCAGCCACACUGGAACUGAGACACGGUCCAGACUCCUACGGGAGGCAGCAGUGGGGAAUAUUGGACAAUGGGCGCAAGCCUGAUCCAGCCAUACCGCGUGGGUGAAGAAGGCCUUCGGGUUGUAAAGCCCUUUUGUUGGGAAAGAAAAGCAGCAGGUUAAUACCCCGCUGUUCUGACGGUACCCAAAGAAUAAGCACCGGCUAACUUCGUG